rnacentral:SRP_RNA from 1 species
GUCAGACACAGUGGCAUGUACCUGUAGUCCCAGUUACUCAGGAGGCUGAAGCAGGAGGAUCUCUGUAGCCCCGGAGUUCUGGGUUGUAGUGUGGUCUGUAUAUUGGGUGUCUUUACUAAGUUUGGCAUCCAUAUGGUGACUAGGAGUAGGGGACCGCCAGGUUGACUGAGGAGGGGUGAAUCAGUCAGGUUGGAAAUGGAGCAGGUCAAAAGUAAGUAGAUUUCAUAGAAAAACUCAAAUUUCUGUGAUCUCUUGAAAAUCAGUCUGGCCUUGUCUGUCACAGUGGGCUGGAGCUGAGAGGGGUCAUCCUCCUU